GAUCCAGUUCAGUGUCACCCAGAUGACAUGUUGAAGCACCUGCUUUUGUGGGCCUUACAGCAAAAGUAGAUAAAGAUUUCAUAGUAGUGCAGAGGCUAAAGCUAUAGUUUCUUUGCCUUCUUCAGCAAAAAAGUCCAAAACUCCAUCUCCAGGAAUGAAAGCUAAGCCUAGUGAGAAGCCCCUAGAAGAAGAAUCCAGGGAGGAGGACACACCAAAGCUCCUGGAACUCCCUCUUAUUCCAAAGGAUGUUGCCUGGGAAAAGAGAAACAGGAAAAGAAGUUUGGCCAAGCAAAGGGCUGAA